rnacentral:rRNA from 1 species
UGGGGAAUCUUGGACAAUGGGGGAAACCCUGAUCCAGCAACGCCGUGUGAGUGAUGAAGGUCUUCGGGUUGUAAAGCUCUUUCGGCGGGGACGAAACGGUUCGUGACAACACCACGGACUAAUGACGGUACCCGCAUAAGAAGCACCGGCUAACUACGUGCCAGCAGCCGCGGUAAUACGUAGGGUGCAGGCGUUAAUCGGAAUUACUGGGCGUAAAGCGUGCGCAGGCGGUUUGUUAAGACAGGUGUGAAAUCCCCGGGCUUAACCUGGGAAUUGCGCUUGUAACUGGCAGGCUAGAGUGUGGCAGAGGGGGGUGGAAUUCCACGUGUAGCAGUGAAAUGCGUAGAUAUGUGGAGGAACACCGAUGGCGAAGGCAGCCCCCCUGGGUUAACACUGACGCUCAUGCACGAAAGCGUGGGGAGCAAACAGGAUUAGAUACCCUUGUAGUCCCUGAGCGGGCUGGCAAGGCGCAU